UACGGAGGGUGCGAGCGUUGUCCGGAAUCACUGGGCGUAGAGGGCGCGUAGGCGGCGCGGAUAGUCGGCGGUGAAAGCCCGGAGCUCAACUCCGGGUCGGCCGUCGAUACUUCCGGGCUUGAGCACUGUAGAGGCAGAUGGAAUUCCGGGUGUAGCGGUGGAAUGCGUAGAGAUCCGGAAGAACACCGGUGGCGAAGGCGGUCUGCUGGGCAGUUGCUGACGCUGAUGCGCGACAGCGUGGGGAGCAAACAGG
rnacentral:rRNA from 1 species